rnacentral:rRNA from 1 species
AUUGAACGCUGGCGGCAGGCUUAACACAUGCAAGUCGAGCGGAGCGAGGGUGCUUGCACCUUAGCUUAGCGGCGGACGGGUGAGUAAUGCUUAGGAAUCUGCCUAUUAGUGGGGGACAACAUUCCGAAAGGAAUGCUAAUACCGCAUACGCCCUACGGGGGAAAGCAGGGGAUCUUCGGACCUUGCGCUAAUAGAUGAGCCUAAGUCGGAUUAGCUAGGUGGUGGGGUAAAGGCCUACCAAGGCGACGAUCUGUAGCGGGUCUGAGAGGAAGAUCCGCCACACUGGGACUGAGACACAGCCCAGACUCCUACGGGAGGCAGCAGUGGGGAAUAUUGGACAAUGGGCGGAAGCCUGAUCCAGCCAUGCCGCGUGUGUGAAGAAGGCCUUUUGGUUGUAAAGCACUUUAAGCGAGGAGGAGGCUACUAGUACUAAUACUACUGGAUAGUGGACGUUACUCGCAGAAUAAGCACCGGCUAACUCUGUGCCAGCCGCCGCGGUAACAC